UCCCUGGUGGUUCAGAUGGUAAAGAAUUUGUCUGCAAUGCAAGAGACCUGGGUUCAAUUCCCAGGUUGGGAA
rfam:Ovis aries breed Texel chromosome 8, whole genome shotgun sequence.